CUCAAAACCGCUUACUAAGCGAUAAUUAAAAUCUAACUAGUACUUCAUCUUGUCGAAUCAUGCAAUUUUUGUUUUAAUUAAACGAAUUCAUUUUUGUGAAAGCCCGGCGGUCGGGAAAGAAUGGACAUUUGUAUUUUCAUGUAUGUGAAUAUAAAGGCGAUGUUACACAACAGGCUAAACGGAACGAUUUUCAAGGACAGAUUCUCAAUGCAAAUGAAGUUAAACGGAAAUUUGAUUGCUUUCGGCAGCCCGUCGUUGUGUUGCGAAUCGUCGUUGAAAACUGUUCCGUGCAACUUCGCUUUAAAACAGCCAAACACCUUGCUUCUUCUAUUUCUUUUAAUUCCAUUGCGUUUUACUAGGAAUUUUGUUUGUUUGAUUUGCACGACUAUAAAAGCAAUCAAAUAUUUGAAUUUCUUGCCGAUCUCUAUAGACCAUGCAUGUAUUUCCGUUUUAUUACGAGGAAUUAAUAUAGCUAUAGCUUUGCCCCAUCUUCGAAUUCCACGAAAAGGAAUCUAAGCGACUGAUAGAUACCAUCAUAUUGUUCUAAAGCAUGUCAUGUUGCAAUUGUCCAUUUGUAUCAAUAAAAAGCAGCCGAAUCUUUGGGGCUUGGUAAUCUGUAGACCGCGGUUUUCAGACGAAUAGCAAUAUUUCAGUAAAGAGGACAAUAGAUACUUGAUAAGUAUAUUAUGUAUUUGUCAAAUAGUAUUUUAUUAAUAUAUACCUUCGUAGGCUUAAUGUUCAUGAAUGAUUUUUGUGAUAGAAUAUCUUACAAGACAGAAUAUAUUACAGUGUUUAAGAAUUAAAGAAUUUGAUAUAUACAUAGGCCUACAUAUAGAAAAGAUUAUAUUAACAAAGAUUAUAGCUGAGUAUAUGUUAUCAGGACUUUUGUUUAGAUCUGUCUAUAAUGUUAGAGUUAUUAAAUAUAAAUUCUGGCAGUAUACAAGUACGAGUCGAAUAUAGUUUCAUCUUGAG
rnacentral:lncRNA from 1 species